rnacentral:rRNA from 1 species
UACAGAGGGUGCAAGCGUUAAUCGGAAUUACUGGGCGUAAAGCGCGCGUAGGUGGUUUGUUAAGUUGGAUGUGAAAUCCCGGGGCUCAACCUCGGAACUGCCUUUGAUACAGCAAGUCUUGAGUUCGAGAGAGGUGGGUGGAAUUCCUGGUGUAGCGGUGAAAUGCGCAGAUAUCAGGAAGAACACCAAUGGCGAAAGCAGCUUUCUGGGACGGUACUGACGCUGAGACGCGAAAGCGUGGGGAGCGAACAGG